rnacentral:lncRNA from 1 species
CCUAUCUCCUCACAUUUUCUUGCAGGAAAGAAUCAUAAACUGCAGAGACCGAAGCACUUCAGACAAAUGAGUAACUCAGCAGUCCUGGGCUUCAGAAGGCCAAACUCUAAACCCAGAUGCUUCUCAUAAAGUUCAUUUUUCGUUCCUCUCCCCAUGCAUUUCUGUGAAGACUGUCUUGAGAGGUGCAGUAACGGUAAUAGGAAGCACUCCUUAGGAUUGUACAGUUGAUUGCCCAGGGGAAGAAAGUGACAACCUCCAGAUUUCCAGGAGACCUUGUAUUUGCAGAGAUAGGGGUUCAAGGGAGGACAGCCAACUUGUCAAAAUCUGAAGAGCUGAGGCCCAAGCUGAAGCUUUCUCACACCUAAUCCCCCAGCAGUACCAUGGCCUCCUUGCUGUCCCACAAACAAGACAUUCCAUCUUCUGACUCUGGACAUUUUCUCUAGCUGUCUCCCAG